GAAAGCCGUAUGCUUUAGAAGAAGCUUGUACAGUUUGGGAAGGGGUUUUUUGAGAGAAAAGAAGAAUUUACUUCAAC
rfam:Triticum aestivum genome assembly, contig: Triticum_aestivum_CS42_TGACv1_scaffold_033348_1BL